rnacentral:rRNA from 1 species
UACGUAGGGGGGCAAGCGUUGUCCGGAUUUAUUGGGCGUAAAGAGCGUGUAGGCGGCCAUACAGGUCAGCUGUGAAAACUCGAGGCUCAACCUCGAGACGUCGGUUGAAACCGUAUGGCUAGAGUCCGGAAGAGGAGAGUGGAAUUCCCGGUGUAGCGGUGAAAUGCGCAGAUAUCGGGAAGAACACCCGUGGCGAAGGCGGCUCUCUGGGACGGUACUGACGCUGAGGAGCGAAAGCGUGGAGAGCAAACAGG